rnacentral:rRNA from 1 species
UACGAAGGGAGCUAGCGUUAUUCGGAAUUACUGGGCGUAAAGAGCGUGUAGGUGGCUAUUUAAGUCAGUUGUUAAAUCCCAUUGCUUAACGGUGGAACAGCAAUUGAAACUAAAUAGCUUGAGUGCAAGAGAGAGGAGUGGAAUUCUCGGAGUAGCGGUAAAAUGCGUAGAUCUCGAGAGGAACACCAAUGGCGAAGGCAGCUCCUUGGCUUGCCACUGACACUCAAACGCGAAAGCGUGGGUAGCAAACAGGAUUAGAUACCCCCGUA